CCUACGGGUGGCAGCAGUCGAGAAUCAUUCACAAUGGGGGAAACCCUGAUGGUGCGACGCCGCGUGGGGGAAUGAAGGUCUUCGGAUUGUAAACCCCUGUCAUGUGGGAGCAAAUUAAAAAGAUAGUACCACAAGAGGAAGAGACGGCUAACUCUGUGCCAGCAGCCGCGGUAAUACAGAGGGCUCAAGCGGUGUUCGGGAUCACUGGGCGUAAAGCGUGCGUAGGCAGUUUCGUAAGUCGUGUGUGAAAGGCGCGGGCUCAACCCGCGGCGAGCACAUGAUACGGGGAGACUAGAGUAAUGGAGGGGUAUCCGGAAUGCGCGGUGUAGCAGUGAAAUGCGUAGAUAUCGAGAAGAACACUCGUGGCGAAGGCAGGUUCCUGGACAUUAACUGACGCUGAGGCACGAAGGCCAGGGGAGCGAAAGGGAUUAGAUACCCCAGUAGUC
rnacentral:rRNA from 1 species